CUUUCUUUCUUUCUUAUUUUUGGCUGUGUUGGGUCUUAGUUGCAGCACGCGGGACCUUCGUUGCGGCGCAGGCUUCUUGCUAGUUGUGGCGUGUGGUUUUCUCUCACUAGUUGUGGCGCACAGGCUCCAGGGUGUGUGGGCUCUGUAGUUGUGGUGCAGGGGCUCUCUCGUUGAAGCGCGCGAGCUCAGUAGUUGUGGCACGUGGGCUUAGUUUUCCCGCAGCACGGGACCACCUCUAUCUAUUCAUCUGUCAGUGGACACUUAGGUUGCUUCUGUGUCUUGGCUAUUGCAAACAAUGUUUUAAUGAUCAUCCUUGAAUAUGCUUCUUUGGACAGAGGUGUGAGUAUUUUUCUAGGGUAAAUGCCAAGAUGGAUUUACUGGGUUAUAGGAUAUUAAAUUUUAAUAAUUAAUUGUCUUUAUUUUAGCUGUCAUCUUUUAGCUCAGCUCAGCUCAAAUCGAGGAUUAAGGCAUGUUCCUAGCAGAGAGGCUAUUCAGAGAUCCUACUUCAGCAGUUUAAGAUUCACCUAAGCUGACUCUGCCGCUGCCCCACCUCUGACCAUGGUAACUCAGUGUCUGAGCUCCUGCUUUUGUGUUUCCUUCUCUGUCUCAGCGACUUGCCCUGAUUUCCUCUAUACCCGAGUCUCUGAACACUGUACCUGUAUCUCUGAGACACUCAGCACCUAUCUGUUGGAAUCUUCACCAGUUACUGCUCUCCUCUCCUCCCCAGCACACUGGCCUGGAUGAACUCAUCAGUUCUUGGCUUCUAUGCUGACCGACUUGUGGGAUUCUGCUCUCAUCUGUCCUUUUCCCUUAGUCUAGGGUACUAGUGCUACAGGACCCAUUAGAGUCCAUAUUCUUCAGCUUUAGUUAUGAUAUUAAUACCUUAAAGACCCCUUUUUUGGCCUCCUACUCUAUCCUGAAGUUCCGUCUGGACUCUGCCACUUCCCGGCCUGGUGGCUGUCCAAGCUUGCACAGUGUUAUUGGGUUUCACAUUACCCCACAAUACUGAUGAUUUUCUAUUUCUAACCAUAUCUCUUUUUUUCCCCAGUGAGAAACUUCCUUUCUUUUUCUUUUCCCUGUUGUUUGAUAUCCUUCAAGGCUAGGUCUUCGUUCUGCUAUUCUUUCUAAGCACUUACUUCUUCAAUAUUUUCCUACUCUUACUUACCUUAACAGACUUAAAUACAGUUUAUUCCCAAGCAUAAAUAUCCAGACUUCACCCUUCCCCAUGCUCCAUGAGUGCGUUUCCAAUUGUCUGCAUAACAUCUCCAUUUGAAUGUUUCCCAUCACUUCAAUUUCAAUAUGUCUAAACCCAACAGAAUCAUCUGCUACAAUUUUACCCCAUCUGUUCCCUUUCCAGUUUUCUCUGUCUCUGUAAACGAUAUCACAUUUCCUUGAUCACCCAGACUAGAAAUCUUGGACCUAUAUCUGAUUUCUUUAUUUCUUCACCUCUUAUAGACAAUCCAACAUGGAAUCCUGCUGAAGUUUUUCCUUUGAAAAUAACGUUGUGGGUGACUUCUGAAUGAAAAGUGGAUUGGGUACAUGCAUUUAUCUCUUUUCUGAAAUGCCACUAAAAUGGCAGCCAAGCAAAGAUGACUAUUAAGUUGAAAAGGAUGUGUCCCCAAAACAGAGCAAGUCUGGACUGCACAAAAUUACCUUCCAUCUCGGAGCAAAUUACGACUUAAUAUGUUUCUGGGAGCACAGUUUCAGGCUUGAGCUCCCCGUUUAAGCACUGGAAGUUUCAGAAACGGUUUGGAGAAAAAGUUCUGUUUCCUGGCAGGAAUGGCAGUCUUGCAUGAGGUUUGAUAGAAGUGAUAUUAAGAGCAAGGUGUACUCUACUACACUUCAGAUCACAUUAUUCUCAGGGAAUAGCUUAUAAAGGAGGAACGAUUCUACAAAGAUUUUAAGUAUCCCUUUGAGUUGAUAUCUGCCUUCACGGUCACCUUCUUUGAAGAUUGCAUCUGUACCACCGUCAGAGCAUGGAGAAUAUUUUUGAUGACACCAACAGUCACCUAAAUCCCCACCUAGUAUUGACUCAUUCUUUCUUCUGCUAACUAAAUUGAAUUGUUGACAAUUCUUUUACUAUCUACAGAUACCAUAGAAAGAUUGGCUCUCCAGAGUUCUUUUAUUUUUCUGACCAUUUUAAGCAUGAUUUUCUAGAGUCCUGCUUAGAUUUAUUGUUUUGUAUAUAUCAUUAAAAUUGAUUUACCAGGAAUUCCAUCCACUUCUAUGAACCUUGAUUGGAGUCAUACAAAUUGAUGGUAGAGGCCACUGGAAUUUGGAAGCAUGAGUGAAAGUCCUAGUCCUGCCAUUGGAUGGCCCUGAGUAUAUGUUUAAUUCCAUCUUAGGUUCUCUGUCAAACAGCGAUAAUAUGUAUCUCGUGGGCUUCAUUUUGAGGUUAAGUACCAUAACGUUCAUGAAAGAAUGGUGAGCUGCUCUUCAGAUUAUUCUCCUUUUUUCUUUUCUUUUUGGUGUCUAGGAAUAUCCCCAAAUGUCUUCUGAAUCAUUACAGAAAGAGUAAAUCAUGCCCCACGUGGUCUUUUUUUUUUUUUUCCCACGUGGUCUUUAACGGUACAGUUUUUAAGAUUUGUAAUCUGUAUAUGAUAGGUAGGGCAAAUUUAUUAACCAUAUUUAGUUAACUGGAACAUACUGUUCUGAAGAUAACUGGGAUGAUAAGAAUAUUACUGUGACUUAUUAAAGCCAAUUAAAACUUUCUGAAGAUUUAAGAUGUGAUUUUCUUCACUUUUAAAAAAAGAGUUUUAGCCUUGGGGUCCAUAGUUGCUGAGAUUCCAUUUUAAAAUAUUGGUUUUUUUUGAAAAAAUCUUUUCUCGUAUAAAACCUCUUAUCAGAUAAGUAGGACCCUACAAGAGGCUUUCACACUUCUUCUAUACCUUUGUUUACCUGAGUCCCCUGAAUUACCAUUUCUCUUCUGUUUUUUUUUUUUUUUUGCGGUACACGGGCCUCUCACUCUUGCGGCCUCUCCCAUUGCGGAGCACAGGCUCCGGAC